UGGGGGUGGGUGUUUGUUUGUUUUCACGGUUUCUCACUAUGCAGCUUAGUAUGGCCCCAAACUCUUAAAUCUCCUGACUCAGCCCCCUCAAAUGUUGAUAUUAGGGGCACAUACCAUCACAUCCAGUAUUAAAAAUAAUUGUUUCUCACACAGUGACAUACAUGUAGACCAGACUAGUUAAGUCAGUUCUUGAUAAAAGAAUGAGUAUAACAAACGUUUAUAAAAUUUCAAAUUAUUCAGCCACUGAUUCCUACCUGUUUGUCCAAACAGUCACGUGGGACCAAACAUGUCCAAAUAAACCGAGGACCAAAUGUUUUAGCAAAAAGUGUCUGUGGGCUGAAAGACACACCAAUAUUCUCAUGAAUAUAGCAAUGCAAAGAUGAACAAUUACACGAAUAAUUAUAGUAGAAAUAAAAAGAUGAGAGAGAAUUGUAGCAUGAGUGGUUGAUGAUGCUCAAAGAAAGUGAGCAAAGACAGAGCUAGAAAAUUAAGUAUUGUGGUUUUUUUUUCUAUUGAGGUAAGGGGUAUAUGCCAAAUGAUUCAGACUAGCAGAAUUCAAGAAAUAUUGAAGGGCCGGGUGGUGGCAGCACAAGCCUUCAAUCCCAGCAGUUGCGGGCAGAGGCAGAUGAAUCUCUGUGAGUUCAAGAACAGCCUGGUAUACAGAGCAAGUCCUAGGUCAGCCAGGGUUACACAGAGAAACCAGGUCUCAAGAAAGGGAGAGAGAGAGAAAGAGAGAGGAAGGGAUUUGGACGGGUACAGCUCUACAAGGAUCACUGCUAGUCCUCUGUUCAAACCCUGUAGGAUAAGCACACUUUGAUUUUCUCUACAGGGUAAAUGAUUCUGGUGUUGCAUGAUUGUUCACUUAUUUCACAACAGGCACGCACAGCACCUGUGGAGGUUAGAGGACACUUUGGGGAAAGGGUUCUCUCCUUCUGCAAUCUGUAUCCUGAAGAGUGAACUCACUAAGGUCUUCAGGCAUGGCUCAAGCACCUUUCCACACUGAACCAUGUUGGUGGACCAUGAUAAAAUGGUGGUUUUGAGGGGAAAAACUCCUUUGCUUGGUUUGUCUGAUGCCCACAGAGAGAAUACUUUUCAGCAAUCAUCCAUGUCCUGAAUGAGAAAAGUCCUCAGUCCUAGCCCGUCAGCUGCCCUCCACAGAAUCCUCUCUUCAAACUCGCAUUCUCUCGUUUUUCUCCCCUGUCUUUCAGAUGAAGCAGCUUUCGCUGAAUACAGUAUGCCCUGUGGCACAGAGAAACCAAAUUUUUGAAACUUGGCAUUUAUUGAAACUUGGACAAGGCAUUGCUGGAAUCCCCGAAUCCAGGAACCUUCAAGAUGGUGAUUUUUCUUUGUCUCUGCAAUAUAAAUACUGAACAAGCUUGGUAAAUAAACACAUAGUUCAAAGUG